GAUGAACGCUAGCGGCAGGCCUAAUACAUGCAAGCCGGACGGCAAGUUGAGUAGCAAUACUUGACCUAGAGUGGCGUAAGGGUGCGUAACACGUAUGCAAUCUGCCCACAGCCGGGAGAUAGCCCUCCGAAAGGAGGAUUAACAUCCCAUAGGAAGAUGAGAUGGCAUCAUUUUAUUUUAAACUACGGGGCUGUGGAUGAGCAUGCGGUUGAUUAGCUAGUUGGCGGGGUAAAGGCCCACCAAGGCGAUGAUCAAUAGGGGACCUGAGAGGGUGAUCCCCCACACUGGCACUGAGAUACGGGCCAGACUCCUACGGGAGGCAGCAGUAGGGAAUAUUGGACAAUGGGUGUAAGCCUGAUCCAGCCAUGCCGCGUGCAGGAAGAAGGCCUUCUGGGUUGUAAACUGCUUUUG
rnacentral:rRNA from 1 species